GCGGCAGCACUGCCGGGGCGCGGCCGAUCCCCACAGGCGCCCGCGGGGCUCGGGGGCGGCGUGGCGGAGCCCUUCCCCCUCCUCCCCGGAGCAGCUUCGCAGACCCCGCUCACCCGCAACGCAGGCGGAGUCCGCCGCGGCAGUAGAGACUUUCUAACAGAGCGGCCGCCCGGCGACUUGCCUUGCCGCGCACCGGAAGUGGAGCUGGGUCGCCGGAGCCGGCCGCCGGCGGGGGCGGGUGUCUCGCAGGCCUCGCGCACACGUCACGUCCCUUCCCCGUCCCCGCGCGCUGCACCUCGGGCGCGCCCGGGCGCCAUGUUGCGGCGGGGCAAGAGCAGCCAGCGGCCGCGCUGCGAGUACCCUGCCCGGAGCGAAACGAAGACGUUGCUGUGCUAGAGAAUUGCUCUUUUCGCGUAGAGGCGAGGGAGGCUGCAGAGCUGAUUCCUCACUCCAUGGCAAGGAGGGAAGGACACCACAACGUGCCAUCAGCCGUGGCCAUCACCCGAGGAAGCGUGUUGGUGUCGAUGGCCAAGGGACCCAGGCAGGACUGUAGUAAAUUGGAAAAGGAAUAUAAAGACGUUCCCUGUGGGCUGGGAUGUGACAGCGGCAAGGCUGUGAAGCUGAUGUGUCACAGCAUCAAGUUCUUCUGAAAGUUUGACAAGUGACUUUGCUUUUGUUCUGGCUGAUAAUAUUUAUAAUCUGUAAACCCCCAAAAGAGAAGGUUUGUCUGCUGAAGAAGUGCCAGAGGCAUCAGUUGUACUUGUGUAUGAUUGAUGGUAUCCUCAUUCACUCUUUUUUGCCUGUGAUCGUUGAAUAGUUACUAUUGCUUGCCAGAGAGUCAGGAUGACAUUUUUCUAAUUGUUGUUAUUUUGAUUUAAGCCUGGGUAGAGAAAGGAACAGGUAAGGCCUGUUAUUGCAUAAAUGCUUUUGUAUCUGCAGUAUUCUGAGGGCUCCUGUACAGGGAUUUAUUUUGCUGGCAUUUUUUUUAACCAUAAACUGAGCAGAUUACUGAUCCUUUUCUUUUUGGCUUUCUUGUCUGUCUGUGGUAAAUGGUAAAUACAUAUUCUGUAUUUAAUGUCAACUAUUUAUGUAUUUUAAUUGUUACAUGCAAGGAUGCGCAGUCUUCAGUAAGCCUGCUCAGCUGACCAUAGCCCUGUAUUAAUUCCAUCAGGUGAUGUUCCCCAUGACUCGAAUUCUUCAAGACAUUUAAACAAGUGCUUAAAUGUGUUGCUAGGUCAACUCAUAUAUUUAAAGGUUUAUUUUUAGGCAAGUGCUUAAAUGCCUGGAUGAACUGAGACCUCUAAUGGUUAGCCUGCAGUUGGCUAUUUUAUUUAGUUACUUUAUACGGUGAACAUACACUGCUCUUUAAUAUUACUGUAUCCAAAUGAAAAAUUGGAAGACAUCAUUCAGGUGAAGGAGGAUUAUUAGACACAUGCUAUCAUGAUAGAAAAAGAAUUUUCCUUGUUAAUUUUGAUAGCUUCCUGUUAAGGAAACAUUGUUUUCUUGUAGGAUAACAAUUUUUGAUUUUUCAGAAACACACAGGUAUAUAACUUUAAACUUAAAUAGCACAGUACUACACUUUAGCUAGUCACUUAACAUUAUAGAAUAGAUUUAAUUUCUACAGUUGUUGAGGUACUGUACACACACAAGAGUGCAUUAUCCUCUGCAAGCCACUGGCACCUGUUUGGAUGUAAUGCACUCUUUCUUCUACAGUACUGACUGUAUUUAAAAUAAAGCUUCUGUGUUUCACA
rnacentral:lncRNA from 1 species